CAUUAUAUAUAAAAAAAACAAAUCUUUUUUUAAAAAAUGGAAUAUUUUUUUAAAUAAGCAAAUAUAUAUUGAUAACUGCACGAAUAAUGUUGUAACAAGCAUUGGCUAGCAAUUGUCAAGCUUUAGUCAAGAUGAUAAAGAAACACUUAAUCUACCCAUCCUAACCUCAGAUACAAGAGAUUAACAUAGAACAUGUCGGUGGGAUCUUAGUAUAUACACGAAAUUGUGCAUAUAAGAAGAUACCAUGGAUAAGUAAGCCCCAACCUGAUACAAAUUAAAUAGCAACAGAAAAUCUGCAUAUGGCUAGCCCAAAAUAGAACCAGCAGAAUAGCAGAGACAGCAUUAACGUGAAUUAAAUCUGAUGGGAAAUGCAUGCACUAGUGCUUAUGAGAAAGUGAAAUUUGGUUCAGAUGAUUUCAACCAUGACCAGGACUGAAAUAAUGUCUUGGAAAAACUUGUCUCUGUUGAAGAUGAUGUUGUUUCUCCAAUUCCAAACAACCCAUGUAAUGGCACACCACAAGACCCGCCAAAUUCGAUUUGUAAUCGGAGAGCACUUAUAUAAAACAGUAAUGCUCUUGGACAGUUGCAGGUAUUGAAGAGGAAAGAUUAAGCCACGAGUAGCAUUCUGACCAAACCAAGCUGACUGUGGGACAACUGAAAAGAGAAUGAGCCAAUGUUUUCAUCAAGAGAACCACAAAAGGGUCGACCAAGUCCGAAUAUGUCACAGGAAUAUUCCU
rnacentral:lncRNA from 1 species